AACCAAGUACAUUGACUGCCUGUCACAGUCAUUUUUACAAUAAUAUUUUUGGUUUUUACGGUGGAAAGAUUAUAAUUUGAAAAAAAUGUUUAUAUAUAUUUACGUACUUGUUUAUUGACCUCCUGAACACCUGCUUAAAGCGGAGAAGACCGUUUUGCAUCAUCAUCAUGAGGAAGCGACCGGGAACAUCGCGCUCUCGAAGCCCAUCACCAGCACCAAAAUCAGCGCGACUGUAUACUUGCGGUGAAACAGAAUCAGCUUGCGGAGACAUAUCAGAGCGCAGAUCAAGUGGAAUCCAAGUACUUCUUCGUGCCGGAGUUGCUUCACCAACUAAUGACGAAAGACGCAGUGCAAUCCAACAAUUGGUGCUUGCUGCAGUUAGCGGUUCAGCCCAACUAAUAAGUAUGUUGAGGAGAGCAGUAGGAGCGAUCGCCACUGUUCCUAUGACGGUUGCUUCAGCAGUCGCCAUCGUAUCAAAUACAUGCGCUACUUGUGCAAGUCAUACAGCUACAACUCAUACAGUCAUACAGGAUACACCUCCUACUACAUGUGAAGCUACUGAUACUGCAGAGGCAAUACCUGAAGCUAGGGAGUCAUCAACAACUGAUAUGACAGUUGCUAUAUACAGGACACCGAUGGUCGACUCAGUGCAUGUGGGGACUUCCACGGAGGCAAUUGAAACAGCAUGCAGAGCUGUACCGGAAUGUGCUAGUGUUCCUCUUGUGCAACAAUUCCGAAAUGAAACUUUUGAGAUUUAUGAUUCUUCUAGUUCAACAAGUGGACUUGUAUUAAAUAUAUAAAUAUUUUGCCAAUUUA